rnacentral:rRNA from 1 species
AUUAGAGGCACUGCCUGCCCAAUGAAAUAAACCUUUUUAAUGGCCGCAGUAUCCUGACUGUGCAAAGGUAGCACAAUCACUUGUCUUUUAAAUAAAGACUAGUAUGAAUGGCAAGACGAGAACUUAACUGUCUCUUUUAUCAACUCAAUGAAACUGACUUUCUGGUACAAAGGCCGGAAUAUAAAAAUAAGACGAGAAGACCCCAUGGAACUUAAAACACGUAACCACUUUAUUUCACUAAAAACUAACAAAAUCCUGACGUACUGUUUUUGGUUGGGGCAACCACGGAGAAAAACUAUCCUCCGAGAACACAACUAAGUUAAACAUAACACAGUCCCAUUAAAAUGCUUUAUGACCCAAUAUAAUUGACCAACGAACCAAGCUACCCUAGGGAUAACAGCGCAAUCUUCUUUUAGAGUCCAUAUCAACAAGAAGGUUUACGACCUCGAUGUUGGAUCAGGAUACCCAGACAGUGCAGCAGCCGUCAAAGGUUUGUUUGUUCAACAAUUAAAAUCCUAC